rnacentral:rRNA from 1 species
UACGAAGGGGGCUAGCGUUGCUCGGAACCACUGGGCGUAAAGCGCACGUAGGCGGACUGCUAAGUCAGGGGUGAAAUCCUGGAGCUCAACUCCAGAACUGCCUUUGAUACUGGCGAUCUCGAGUCCGGGAGAGGUGAGUGGAACUGCGAGUGUAGAGGUGAAAUUCGUAGAUAUUCGCAAGAACACCAGUGGCGAAGGCGGCUCACUGGCCCGGUACUGACGCUGAGGUGCGAAAGCGUGGGGAGCAAACAGG